GCACCUCAGGCAGUAUUAGACAUUAACGGAUUCCACUGCUUCCCAAAAUGUAAAUUCGAAAGCUGAAUGGACAAAAUUUUCAUUUCAUAAACUUUGUUGCCAGUGGUCUUUUUGUUUCCCCAAAGAAGGGAGUGCUGAGGAACUCCCCACCCCUCCGCCCCAACUCCCAAGGAUUCGGAUGCCUCCGGACGCAGGGGCAGCUCUCUACCCUACCUACAUUCUUUGGGCAGGUGCGGCCUCACAGCCCUGGCCCGGGCUGCAGGGAGUAUCUCUCAAGAAUGUGAGGGUGUCGGGAACCCUGACACUGUCAUGAAGAGCGAGAAGGAAAAACUCAGAGAAUUCAAACUCAGCUGGAAACUGCUGGAGGAGCUGCCAGACACAGUCAAGGAAGAGGAGAAACACUGGUGCCUGAGAAGAGGGAAAUUUUAAGAGGACAACAUCUGAAUGCCCAGCCUGGAGCAUCGACUCUACUGCUCUGGAGGGGAGCAAGUCAGAAAGGUCACUGGCUGUGUAGAAGCCGCUACAGCGGAGGAGAUCACUACCCCCAGGAUGAUGCCAGGACAGGCGCUUCAGAUGGUUGAAGGGCCUGGACAGAAAAAGGAAAUCAGAAGAAUCUGGCAUGCAAGUGAUUCCAGACCAGGAGUGAGCUUCUAACUCAGUCUUCUCAUCUAUGGCUGUGCGUCUGGGGCACUGACUCCUUGGAGAAAGAAGAGGACAGAGUCCAGAAGUGUCCAAGUACCUCUGGGACAAUCAUCUCUGAAGCUUCUUUACUGGGGAAGCAAAAAUGUGACUGGAAAUGUGGACACAUGGCUGUUCAGAAAAAGAAUGGCAAAAGCUAGAUUCUCAGAAGUCAUUCAGAACCAGCUCCAUUCUUUCUCAGUAUCACCUCCCAAAUAUAUAAUACAAAGUCAUUAGUAAUUUUUGUUUUUAUUGGUCUGUGAAUUUUAGUUUCACUUGAGAAGAAAGUGAGCCAACGGGAGAGGGAGGAUGCCUCCCAGGCCCUGUGCAGCAGUGAGUGGAACACCAUCCCCCACUCCAUGAAGAGAUCAAAUCUUAAAAACUUUUUUGAUAUAAUCUUUUUAUUUUGUUGACAGAAUCCAGUUGAGGGGAAAACUUUUGGUUAAGUCUUAUAACUCUCAAUAAAACCAGCAUAGAUGAAGGGAAGAGUCUGGAGGCCUUGCCCAUAGUAUACUUGCUCCAUCAGGGCUGGA